rnacentral:tRNA from 1 species
GGAGAAGUACCCAAGCCCGGCUGAAGGGGAUGCACUCGAAAUGCGUUAGGGCGUGCAAGCGCCGCGUGGGUUCGAAUCCCACCUUCUCCGCCA